rnacentral:lncRNA from 1 species
AGUGGUGGCUCACGGCUGUAGUCCUUGCUACUCGGGAGGCUGAGGCAGGAGAAUUGCUUGAACCCGGGAGGCGGAGGUUGCAGUGAGCCAAGAUCAUGCCACUGCACUCCAGCCUGGUUAGCAGAGCAAGACUCCAGAUACCUUCUGGUCUGGCAAGCCCAAGCCCAGCUUAUUCACUACGGUCCUUACAGAUAACAUCCGCCCGCCUCGGCCUCCCAAAGUGCUGGGACUGCAGGCGUGAGCCACCGCGCCCGGCCGAUUCCCCCCUUUAUCCCUCAAUUUCCUCAUCUGAGCAAUGGAGAUACGGGUAGGGCUGAAGGUCAGGCAAGAAUGCGAUGAGCUGUGAGAAGCACUUGGCAAGGUGCGGGUUAUCAACCUUGCCAGGCCUCAGCACGUUUCCCAAGGAGGCCCAACCAGCGGCGCUGUGCCGCAGCACGGAAGAGGCGGGGUGAGCCGCGGGGCGGGCGGCGCUGGGACCCGGACGCCACCCGCGCGAGGCGCCGCCGUGCGCCCGUCAAUCAAGGUCGUCGUGGGGCAUGGGGCGGCGGGGCUGGGCGGUGCUUCCGCCUGCGCGAGGCCGCGCCGGGCCGCUUGGAGGCGCCCGGUGCAGUCGGGAACCCGCGCUAGGUGUCGCCGGCCGCGCGGCCAGAUGAGGGGGGCGAUGGAGCUGGAGCCUGAGCUGCUGCUGCAGGAGGCCCGCGAGAACGUGGAGGCAGCGCAGAGCUACCGGCGGGAGCUGGGUCACCGGCUUGAGGGGCUGCGGGAGGCGCGGAGGCAGGUCGGAGGGCCACACCCACAGGGGCGCUGUGGGCCCGGGGGUGGCGCGGAUGCCGGGCGAAGGCAGGGAGGGCUUUGAGGGGUGGGAGUGUCCGAAAACUCUGGAGUAGGGAAGAGGCAUUCAUUUGAAAGGAGACCUAAUGGAGUCUGGGAACGGGGAAGGUGGGAGUUGGGGAGGUCGUAAGGGGAAGUUUUGGGGGUGGAGGGAGGGUGUGAGGAGCGUUCACCAAACUGUGGGGCAGCGAUGGGAGUAGCGGUGGCGUCCGAAGUUUGGGAGAGUGAGGGACCAGAGCAGAAUCCGAGGGGGUCAUGCGGGUAGUGAUGAGUCGGGGGAGGAGGAGACUGUUUGGUAAAAAACCUGCGGUGGGUAGGCAUUGAUUUUAGAGAGCCUGAGGAAAAGGUGGGACAGUGACCUGGGAGAGCUGAAAGUGGAGACAAAAUGGAUAUUGGAAGGGGAGGACUAAGGGGCGAGAGUGAGGGAGAGGUAGGGAUUGAGAAGCAGUAGCGUUGACACUAAAUAAAUGCGGUUAAUGCCUGAAUAA